rnacentral:rRNA from 1 species
AUGCCCGCCGAGUUCGUCAGUUGGAUCCUGGCCAUGCCUAUAGACAAGCCCCACGACAUAGCCAUGCCCUCCUUCCUCGAGGGCGAGAAGAACAUGGCGGAGAUCCUGGGGGUGACGGAGGAGUGGCUCGAGGAUAAGAGGCAGGUGUACAGUGAUGCCGCCCUCCGCGUCCAGAGGCUCCAUGCCAACUUCCUGAAGUACCAGGUCGAGACCCGCGACGAGUUCCUUGAGAAGGGCUAUGUGGAGGUGGACGACGACUACUUCGAGCACCAGGCCGAGGUCGGGGAGAAGAUGAGGGCGUAUUGGGAGGAGUUGCAGAAGAAGCGAGGCCCCGCUCUCGCGUACGUCGCGGACUACAGCGAGUACGAUCUACCGUAUGACUACGAGGAGCAGGCGAGGCGCUUGGUCGCUCUGUGA